GGUUUUAUAGUCAAAGGAUGAUUUUAAAUUGCAAAUUUAAGGGUGGGGUUAUGGCUCCUAAAACCU
rnacentral:tRNA from 1 species